rnacentral:misc_RNA from 1 species
ACGAGUUUUUGAAACGGGUUGUAGCUGGCUUCUUAACGGAAGCAUGUGCACGCCUGACUCAUCCACUCUCAAACCCCUGUGCACUUGUUGUAGGCUUGGUUUUUUGAAGGAUCUUUAAUGGUCUAGAAAAUGGCCUUGUCUAUGUUUUUACAAACGCUUCAGUCAAAGAAUGUAACUUGCGUGUAACGCAUUGAAUA